rnacentral:rRNA from 1 species
CAAUAGCGUAUAUUAAAGUUGUUGCAGUUAAAAAGCUCGUAGUUGAAUUUUUGCUUGCCGCCGAUGUCGGAACUUCCGUACGUUCGGCGGCGUGCAUCCUUGGGUGGAACCUGUGUGGCAUUAGGUUGUCGUGCAGGGGAUGCUCAUCGUUUACUGUGAAAAAAUUGGAGUGUUCAAAGCAGGCUUACGCCGUUGAAUAUAUUAGCAUGGAAUAAUAAGAUAGGACCUUGGUACUAUUUUGUUGGUUUGCGCACCGAGGUAAUGAUUAACAGGGACAGUUGGGGGUAUUCGUAUUCCAUUGUCAGAGGUGAAAUUCUUGGAUUUCUGGAAGACGAACUACUGCGAAAGCAUUUACCAAGGAUGUUUUCAUUAA